CCCGGGGAGCACUGCAAAUCACUUCCUGUAGCGCACACACGCGCACACACACACGCGCGCGCACACACACACACACACACACGAAAGAAAGAAAGAAAAAGAAAGAAAAAAAUGCAUACACCCACUGACUGCACACUAGAGCCAAUCAAUUCUCAAACUGCCUUUGCUACCUUCCCAGAGAUUCCCUUCCGACCUUUGGUUGCUCGCCUCCCCAUCCCCCGACUCAGCAUCUGUGCCAGAGGUCAGUCCGGUCCCUUCGGACGGUCAGAUGAACUUUCUGAAACCCCUUCUUCUCUGCUAAGGCUUCCUGUCCCCCGCUCAGCCCUCCGUGGGGGCCCCUGAGUGUCUGACAGCCAUGAGUUAAAAUGUGACGAAGCCUUUUUAAGAAUAAGAUCUUCAGCGGAUCCUCAUGAAUUCUGAUUUGGAAAGCACCAGCAAUUGGUAAAUAGCCAAAAAAGAAAAAAGAACAGAAAAGAGAAGAAUAUUUACUCCCAGGUGAACAUAAAAAACCAAUUUCCUGGGUUUUUCUUUUUUCAAAUCAGCAGAGCAGCCAUGACAAUGUCUUUGUAGCAAUGCAGCUCCUCCAAAAAAAAAAAAAAAAAGAAAGAAAGAAAAGAAGAAGAAGAAGAAAAGAAAAAGAAAGAAAGAAAGAAAGGUCUGCACAGAGCCUGUGAGGAUGUGUCCCCUGCUAAGGACAACAGCCUUCCUCAGUCAGGGUUGGGUUGAAACCUGCUUCCAGAAAAGAAGAGGACCUCUCUGAGGAAUGGUAGCUGGCUCCAGACAUCCAUUCCAAAAAGGGGGCUGGGCUUGAAGCUUUAUCCCAAUUGAAUGUGCUCGAGGUCUGGAAAAAUGCCUACCAAACGUACAAAUACAUUUCAAUGUCCCUUCUGUUGCUGCCUUGCAACCCUGCAUGAAGGAAGGAAAAAAAAAAUGCAGCUGCUCUGGUUACACAGAAAAUCCGUGUCGGGAGUCAGGCUCCGCUUGGAGGGAGAGGCGAAGGCCUCCUUCCUCUCAGCGAGGACAACAGGGCGUUGGCGGCCCCCAGAAGGUCGGCGGAGACUCAAACCCUCCCAGCCCUUGCACCCGGGGCUCUGCCGGUCUCCGCCAUGCUUGGAGAUAACCCACCGGACACAGAGAAACCACCCUGUGCAAAUUGCCACGCAACUCUGUGUAAGCAAAUAAAUUUAUCUCCGGCACCCUGCCUUCUCCCACCCACGACUAGGUGUGUGCCCCCGGAGGCUCCGAACCCAGCAGAACUUUAUGGCCCCGGUGCCCGGAGGGCGUCUCCUGGCCGGCAGGUGAGGCCAGCGGCCUGGAUGCAGGAGCGCAGGGCCGCGGCGGCUCCCCUCCCCGGGCGCAGGCUUUCAUCCUCGCCCUUCCCCUUGCUCGCUUAGCAACAGCAAGUGCACACCCCAUCCACGAUGGUGAUGGUGAGCGGAACUCCCCCCAGAUCUGAAGCAAAAACGCCCUAUCCUUCCCAAACCCCGCUCUUCAUUAGAAGCAGACAAAAACAGCAAAAUGUGAAUGAGAGGCUGUUUGUGUGAAUGGAAGGGCUAGCAGCGAGCCAGCGAUUCUGUGAAUGAAGCCGGGCCCUGCGAGCCGGUGCCAGGCAAUCCCCUGGCUCCAGCGGCCUCAGCCAAUGAGCAGCCGCCCUGAUGACUCAUUGAAGAAGGCUUGCUCAAUAGUGGAAGAUUCCAUUUCAAUCAAAGGCGGGAUCUUUAUUCCAACGGCAGUGUGGGAAAAAAAAAAAAAAAAAAAAAAAGCCAGCCUGAUUACAAAAUGCAUGGAGGAAGGCAGGACUGUCAUGGACAGCAGAAAAACUAGUUUUUCACGAAAAUUCAAGAACCGUUGUUCAGCUCCCAGUGUGAACAGGACGGCCUCUGCUGGAGGUGAGCUGUGCCCCCAAACUUCCAUUCAGCAGUUCAUUUACAAGCAAGAAACAACCAUGAAUGUGCUCCUCGGUUCAGCGUUUAUCAUGAAUGUACAGGAAACGCACAUUCAAACCCUAGGCAUCUCGCCCUCCAUUCUGUUUGUGAAAGGAUCAUCCAACACGCGUGCACGUUCUGAGUCUCCAAAGAAGGGGGAAAAAAAUCCAAAUCUCCAUGGUUAACCCUUUAGCCAACAGGAGAUUUUUUUUUUAUUCCUUUUAUUAUGACGAGCCAAGUGGAGAGAAAUUGGCCAUUUUAAAAAAUCACAGUAAUAGAAAUGUACUGCAUAUGAGAAGAUCUGUAAUCAAAGAGGCUAGUUAAUAUUCCAGGGAUGCAGUAGAACAGUAAAACCUCACUUUCCGGGAAGAUGAUGGGGGCGGGGGUGGGGGGCGCUGUAAGCCGAGCAAGAAACCCACACUCUACCUCCCAAGCCAUGCCCGGCGCCCUCACCCAGGCUGGUCCUGCCUACUCUCAGGCUAUCAUGGUGUAGAAGUCGAAGACCGAUGAGAUGUUCGUUGUUUGGCAGCACAGAAGCCAAGCAAAGGAAGGAAACCACCAUAACAUCAGCCUCCAGCCUCAAGCAUGCCUGAGGUCAUCCACAGUAGCUCUUCCAGAAUAUUGUGGUUUCCAGAAUACUGUGGUUUCCCUUUUUAAAAUCUAUUCACUUAAAGGUGUAUUGUUUUUCUAUUGCUGUCAUAAUCCCAAGAUCAGUGGUUUAAAAUGGUGUUUUAUCUGCCAGUGCUGCAGGCAGAAAUCCAGCAUGGGUCACCCGGGGUAGAGUCCAGGGUGGACGGCAGUGAGUUCCUUCUGGAGUUUCUAGGGGAGAACCCCUCUCCUCGCCUUUCCUGCGUCUAGAGGCUGCCUCUACCUGCCUGAAGUUGGCUCAUGAGCUGGGCCCUGAGGACGGUGGCUUUGUUCCCAAGAAGCUUUCAUUCUACCUGGAGAGGCAGAAAAUCUGACAUUAUCACAAUAACCCGGUACACUACGCAACAACUUAAAUGUAUGGGAUACGAACCUUGCGCAAUGGAGCCUGCUGACCUUGGCCGCAGGAUGUCAGGGGGGGACCUCAGCAGGGGUGAGGGAUUUCUGGAAUCUUCCAGGUACAUGGGGGCAAAGAGACACCCCUGGAAGAGGGGCUGUCUGGGGAACAGCCCAAGGCCUGCACAGCUCAGCGUUUCCAGAAGCUACGUAGAUGGUCGGAUGGGGGCAAUGUUGGGAGGCCAGGCCGCUGAGACAGCUGGACGUGGAGGGUGUGGCUAUAACCCAUGUCUCCCUCAUGAUGUGGGAUUGGAGGCUGCAUGGUGUGGGCAGGGGCCUUCUCUUUGCCAAACCCGCAGGAAGCCAGAGUGCAGGAGCCCGGCAAUGGCAAGCUGGGCGGGGCAAGAAGAGCUGGAUCCCAGAUAACUCUCUCCGUGGCCCUGACACAGUGACCACACAUGGACAUCGAUAUGAAGACAGCUAGAACCCCAGAUGGCCUCCACUGUCUCAAGGCUGAGAAGGAAAUGGACACCAGUGGCCACACCGUGUCGGUCUAGGAGUCUCAGACUUGAGGAUACUCUGGCAGACUUGUCACCACACAGAGAGCUGGUGUCACCACCCAGAGUUUCUGCUCCACCCCCCAUUUCCCAGCUGAGGACACCCGGCUCAGCGCGGCAGAGGACCCGUCCACACGCGCAGCUGCCGCGCACGGGGCAGGCGCGGAAACUCGGUCCUCUGGUUCCAGCUGGCACUUGAAGAGAGGCAAGUGACACAGACACUGGUUAGCAGGUUAAGAUGCGCUGGUCAUUCUACAGUUCCUUGUUCGUUAUUCUGUUUCCAA